rnacentral:rRNA from 1 species
UACAGAGGGGGCAAGCGUUAUUCGGAAUUAUUGGGCGUAAAGGGCGCGUAGGCGGCCUGGCAAGUGACGGGUGAAAGCCCUCGGCUCAACCGAGGAACUGCCUGUCAUACUGCCGGGCUUGAGUCCGGGAGAGGUGAGUGGAAUUCCCGGUGUAGCGGUGAAAUGCGCAGAUAUCGGGAAGAACACCCGUGGCGAAGGCGGCUCUCUGGAACGCAACUGACGCUGAGACGCGAAAGCGUGGGGAGCAAACAGG